ensembl:lncRNA
AUGGUUUCUCAUAUAGGUUUCAGUGAGCAGAGCUUGCUUGCUUUACUUGAGUUCUCAUACACUUCCACCCUCAAUCUGAAUUUGGACAUCUUGACAGAGGUUUGUGCCAUGGCCCGCCAUUUACGCAUGUGGCCUGCCCUUGAGGCUUGCUCUGCUAUCAAAAGGGAGCGAGAGACUUGUCAGUUACGUUCCAGAAUGCACAGUUCUCCUGUGGAACCAAAUAAUGCAAUGCCUGGACCUUUCAGGAGGGACCAAUCCUCAACUUCAGGAGGGAAAGUGGGACUCAAGAGUAGAAGAGAGGAUGAGGAAGGAGAAGGCUCUGGGUCUUCCUGGAACAUUCAAGCACAGCACAGAGAGCACAUUGUUGAUAAGGUCACAGAUGAAUCUGAAACAGAAACCUCAAACCCUCAGUUGCAAUGCCAAGUCCCCUCCAGUUUUCAGGUGGAGGAAAAUGGCUUUCCAUGCAGCCCAAAUCGCAGAAUGAAGCUCAUGGACUUCAAAUCUCCAUCCUGCAAGAAAAAAUCGUCCUCCCGCCCCACGUCUUCAAUCAUCUCAACAUCUCCUUGCACCUCUACUCGUUCUUCAUCUCCAUCACGCCGUCUGCUUCGUUCCUCACCUGGCGCUGCACUUGCUUUGCGCAGACUCCUACCCAAAAUUGACCUUUCCACCAAGAGAAAGAGGAAGUCCUCUUCCUACCGGUCAUACAAGCCCCAGUGUGAAUUCUCAGUGACUCCGUUCCAAUCUCAGGCAAAUUCUUUGACCCGUAUUACCUCGGUAAAGGAUGAGGAUGUGGAGGAGGAGGUAUGUAACACAGUCCCUCAGGAUGAGGUGCACAGCCCACGUGCUCAGGAGAAAUACCGUCUUCUUAGCUUCCUUGGCUUGCAGAGGAAAUCCCUGGUGCCUGGUCCAGAGGAACUGUCCGGCUGGGGGCAGAAAAAACGACUUAGGAAGUUAAAAGUCAGUGAUUAUUCACUCACAGCCCGACGUAAACCUCGUGCACAGGGCGUCCCUUUGAGUUUCGGAACUAGUUUAGGGGUGCUUGCCGCCGUUAAUCCUACUCUGUCCCUCUGUGACAUGAGCAGAAUGGACUUGCUGAACAGACCAGUGAAAGUAGAACCUUGGAACCAAGAAAGUUCCAAAAGGAAAAGACAUGAUCCUUCAGGGCACACUGGGCAGCCAAUUGCAAGAGCUACUCGUAGUAGGUCAUUGCUGCAGACACAGUCCAGUGCAACAGAUCGACCGCUCAGACGCCACCCCAGAAAUGAAGCACCUUCCCACCCUGCACGAAGAGGUAGAGUACCAGCACACAGUGCCUCUUCCCCUUCAAAAAGCACUAUGCUCAGGAUAAAACGGGAAUCUUCGGAAAGUGCCAUCCUGCAACCUAUUCAUCGUCGCAAUACUGCCUACAACCCCCAGGGAACUUCUCCUAAAUCAACAGGACGUAGGGGUCGCCCACCAGCAGAUCGCACAGUAAGGGUAGACACAACAAAGUUGCAGCACACAAAGCAGCACAAACCUGGGCGCACCCCAAUAGACAAACCUACGAGCUCAAAACAAAUAGAAAGCAAAACAAGAUGCAACCAUGCUACAGGAAUGCCACAUGCAAAGCACAGCAGAACUGAAAGAGGAACACAGGUGAAGGAGAACAGAAAAAUUAAGGAACACAGCAACAGAAAAGAGAGUCCCGAAGUGCCGUAUGCCAUUGUGAACUGGGAUACUUCCAACCAUCAGCAACUUCACAGCCAUCCCCUGUACAAAACUAUAAAGGAAGAGCCAGCUGACCCCUUGCCCCUUACCCAGCCAUUUCCAACCAGCGACUCCUCGGACCUGGGCAAGCGUCAGAGCAAACCACCCAUCAAACUGUUGGAUCAAGGCUUCCUUUUCGGCUUCUGUCGGUCACCAAGUGGCAUUAAACGGGAGGAGGAGAGCGUGGACAUCUACCUAACUCAUGGAAAUAGUUCCCAUUGCGACUCAUCACCUGGCAUGGUGAGAAGAGAUCGGGUGAGGGCCAGGAUUAUGCCAGACCGGACGGGUCUAAAUGGGCCUCACUGGGCUGGGCUUGGCAACAGGCACUCACCCUUUUCCCACAGGACUGCUGUCCGAGUGAAGACCGAGAGGGAUGAAACGGGAAUGUCUCAAGGGUCACAGGUUAACCGAGUUUCUAGACACCCCCAGGUCAGCAAGAGGAGCUGUAAAGUCAAGAAAGAACCUACAAAGACAAAGGUGAUACGUUUUUUUUCUCAUGCCAGCAGAUGCUGA